AGGUUCAGGUGCAUGGAUUUUAAAUACAACUUUCUGCAUCUUUCUGAACUUGGGAUCCUGUAGGAUUACAAAUUCUCCAGAAAGCAGUGACAAGGAGUCUGACUCACAUCCUCCUGCACCUCUUUUCAAUUACUGACUUAAACCAGGUGAUCUAGAAACUCCAGUCCCUCUUCUUCCUGCCGAUCGCUGCAGCAACCUACUGAGCCGGCCAGAGAACCUUUGCCUUCAUAGUUAUACGAACGAACGUAGUCUUCACAAUGUUUAUGCUCCUCAUCUUGUCC